GACGAACGCUGGCGGCGUGCUUAACACAUGCAAGUCGAACGAAGUGGCGAACGGGUGAGUAACGCGUAAUCAACCUGCCAUUCAGAGGGGGACAACAGUUGGAAACGACUGCUAAUACCCCAUACUGAAGGAGGGGAUUGCGUCGGAUUAGCUAGUUGGAGGGGUAACGGCCCACCAAGGCGAGGAUCAGUAGCCGGUCUGAGAGGAUGAACGGGCACAUGGGGACGGUGACACGGCCCAGACUCCCACGGGAGGGAGCAGUGGGGGAUCUUCCGCAAUGGACGAAAGUCUGACGGAGCAACGGCGCGGGAGGGAUGACGGCCUUCGGGUUGUAAAGCUCUGUUAAUCGGGACGCGGUACCGGAAUAGAAAGCCACGGCUAACUACGUGCCAGCAGCCGCGGUAAUAC
rnacentral:rRNA from 1 species